UAAUAAAGGAAAAUGCUUAUUCCUACGAAGGAUGUUUUCACGAUAACAACGAAUCCUUUAUUUUAUAUUUUUUUGUUAAGAAACAAACUGCUUAACCUCAUCUUUGGUCUUUGCUUAUCAUCGUCUCAAAGCGCAAAAAUUGUGAAAUUCAAGAAUGGAAGCAACCCACUCAUUCUCUCAUGAUUAUUGCGGCCUUUCCUCCAUCAACAACCAUAACUUCACGGUUCCUUUUCCUUUCUUCAAAACCUAAUUUGAUAUUUAUCAACCCAACAUAUUGAUUUUCUUACUCGAUUUUUCAAGAUCUACAACCAUAAUUUUUACUCUAUGAUUAGUUUGAUUUCUUGGUAAUCUCUGUUCAUCUCUCUCUUUUCUGGUUCAUUGUUUGUGCUUCAUCAGAUUCAGUUUGCAUUGGUUUUAAAAUUGAGUACCCUAAUUUAUAGAAGAGAAGAAAGGUUGGAGCUUUAUGCAAAUAGCUCAAUUUAAGUCUCCUAGCAAAGUGGAGGUGGAAACUUUUGGCAGUGGUUGGGGAGACAGAAGGAUUUUCGGUGAAAGCUACUUACCUUAUGAUGGUUGCAAAGUUUAAUAAUAAUAGUAUGCGUGAGCCUCAUGAGGAAUAUGUGUUCAAACACUUGUGGAAAUGUGCUGCUCCGUCUAAGGCUUGUGCAUUCUCGUGGCAGCUGCUACUUAAUUGAAUUCAGACCAAGGAUAAUCUUUGGAAGCAGAGGGUUAUUCGGCAACAUCAAACUGAUUGUGUUCUCUGUGGUGCCAUAGCGGAAUCGGGGGUCCAUUUGUUUCUGCACUGCAACUGUACGGCGACUGUUUGAUACUAGAUUAUUAUGCGAUGGUUGGGACUUGUAAUUUUACUCCCCCCUAAUCUGGUCCUGUCUUUUAGUAUGUUAUUGGGCUGUGCGUAUAACAAAUGGCAAAAAGAAGGAUUGGCGCUGAUUUGGAACCUUUUAUAUGUGGGUGAUUUGGAACCUUUUAUCUGAUCGUAUUUUCAAUAUUGGUUAGAAAGUUUGGAACGCUUUUGUUCUCUUUUAGGCAUAGGCAAUAUAGGCUAAAGUGUAUAGGAAUAGUUGCACGAUGUUGUUGUAUGUGCUGCAACUAAUUGUUCAUGUGUUGCACAAAAUUUGAUUAUGUUUACAUUUGUUAUAUUUCAAUGUUAAAUGUAUUGAAAAUA